ACCUUUUAUCACCAAAAAAAAAAAAAAUUGUGGGCGGGAAGAGUAACAGUCGGAGUAUAAACAGACACUCCGAAGAGAACGAGUGCGCUUGGGCCUUCAUCAACCGUGACUUUAGCAGUCUCGACGACUGUCUCACGAAAUUCACCACCGCCGGUACGCCAGCCCGCCCCUUCUCUCUGACGCUCUCACCGGUUAUGCGAGGCAAGUCUAACUGUUCGUGAAAAGUUGCGAGUGGCAGGUGGGUUGGAGACUUUCGAGUUUCCAGUUCAUUUUUUUAGAUGAAUUAUGGUGCUGAGGUGUAGUGGGAGGCACUGAGUCUGAGGGGGAAGCUGCUUAAUCGGUUAAGUCGGCUGUUGCUUUUGCACUGCUGCUCCGAGGCCAUGGCUAUUUGUAGGUUUGGGCAAUCCCGGCGAUAAGUACCAAGGAACUAGGCACAAUGCGGGGUUUUAGAUGAUUGAUGCGUUUGCUGGUUCGCAGGGCAUUGCAAUGAACACGGUCCAAUGCAAAGCUAUACUUGGGCAAGGCAUGU